UACGUAGGGUCCGAGCGUUGUCCGGAAUUACUGGGCGUAAAGAGCUCGUAGGUGGUUUGUCGCGUUGUUCGUGAAAACUCACAGCUCAACUGUGGGCGUGCGGGCGAUACGGGCAGACUAGAGUACUGCAGGGGAGACUGGAAUUCCUGGUGUAGCGGUGGAAUGCGCAGAUAUCAGGGGGGAACACCGGUGGCGAAGGCGGGUCUCUGGGCAGUAACUGACGCUGAGGAGCGAAAGCGUGGGGAGCAAACAGG
rnacentral:rRNA from 1 species